rnacentral:rRNA from 1 species
ACGGGUGAGUAAUAUAUCGGAACGUGCCCUAGAGUGGGGGAUAACUAGUCGAAAGACUAGCUAAUACCGCAUACGAUCUAAGGAUGAAAGUGGGGGAUCGCAAGACCUCAUGCUCCUGGAGCGGCCGAUAUCUGAUUAGCUAGUUGGUGGGGUAAAAGCCUACCAAGGCGACGAUCAGUAGCUGGUCUGAGAGGACGACCAGCCACACUGGGACUGAGACACGGCCCAGACUCCUACGGGAGGCAGCAGUGGGGAAUUUUGGACAAUGGGGGCAACCCUGAUCCAGCAAUGCCGCGUGAGUGAAGAAGGCCUUCGGGUUGUAAAGCUCUUUUGUCAGGGAAGAAACGGUUUUGGCUAAUAUCCAGAACUAAUGACGGUACCUGAAGAAUAAGCACCGGCUAACUACGUGCCAGCAGCCGCGGUAAUACGUAGGGUGCAAGCGUUAAUCGGAAUUACUGGGCGUAAAGCGUGCGUAGGCGGUUGUGUAAGACAGAUGUGAAAUCCCCGGGCUCAACCUGGGAAUUGCAUUUGUGACUGCACGGCUAGAGUGUGUCAGAGGGGGGUAGAAUUCCACGUGUAGCA